CCCAGUUCGGAUUGCAGUCUGCAACUCGACUGCAUGAAGCCGGAAUCGCUAGUAAUCGCGGAUCAGAAUGCCGCGGUGAAUACGUUCCCGGGUCUUGUACACACCGCCCGUCACACCAUGGGAGUCGGAAAUGCCCGAAGCCGGUGGCCUAACCGAUAAGGGAGGAGCCGUCGGAGGCAGGUCUGAUGACUGGGGUGAAGUCGUAACAAGGUACC
rnacentral:rRNA from 1 species